AUACUAAAAUUCAGAUCAGGUGUUACCUUAGAGGUAAUAACCGGGCCUCUUGGCAGCAGAUAAACCUGUGGGACUGUG
rnacentral:ncRNA from 2 species